GUACGGCGUGCACCACAAGAGAUCUGCUCUGCCUCGAGGAGUUUUCGCAGCCAUCCAGGAGACAGACAUCACAUAAUAAACGAGCGAAUACGCAGACAACUGCCAAGCAUGGUCCACUUGGUCAAGGCAAAGUACAGGGGGAUGUUGAGGGACUGUAAGUGCGCCGCAGUGAGAAAAGGCUUCUCUGAAAAAAGAGACAUGGAACUCAGUCUGGAUGUUGAGUCCGGAAAAGCCACCAGAAGAGGCGAGAGGACAGCGUGAAGGCUUAAGGUCUCACAUCAGAAGCCACAUUCCAACCAGAGCCUGAGCUCCAGGCACCAUGCACCGAGCUGUCAAUGGAAGCAAUAGCCCCACGGAGAAACAGCCAUGAAGCUCCAGGAAGCCCAGGCUCAAGGACUACCACGUUCCUCUCACAAACAGGCAAAACAGGCUGAAGUGGGAACAGCAAGAUUUGACAGAAGACCUCUGGGUCAAAUCGGCAAGGCCUUCCGCAGAAAAGCCGAGUACGACAACUCACAGACCAAGAGCCCCACCACCCGGAAGUGGUUCUUAAAGCGCACAGGCGUGAGAAAACACAGAUGGAGUGGAACAGGCAAUGUUGUAGCUGUACGCAGAAGACAUCACACCACGCUGGAGAUUUUUAGAAGUCUUGGAAGACCUCAGGAUACAGAGAGGGAAACUGACGCCACACAGAAGCUGCUAGUAAAAGUGGAAGCAGGCAAUACUCCCUAGUUUCUCACUUCUCUAUCAGCCAUCCCCACCCCGAAUACUGCCAGUUUAACUCAGGAGAAAAGCAGCUUGCAAGACACUUAAUGCCAUGUCUUAUGAGACUCAGCAGUGCUGGAUUGCCUCCCUCCCCCCACCCAUGGCAGGAGAACAUCUGUGAACUGGAAGGUGACAGAUCUGGAUGGACUCUACCUCUGCUGUUUACCUUGACUCUGAGACCCCUGUUCUGACAGUGUUACCUUGGGCUCUUAACUACUCCUGGUUUCUGUUUCAGUUUCACUUUGGUGCCAAGGGAAUAGUGACCAUCAUCAAAGGAACUUACCCACCUGACAGCAGGAAUGUCCUAACCUCAUCGGGCUCAAAUCUACCUCUUCCCAACCCCGCCAGAGCAAGGCCACUCUCCUAAGCACAACCCCAGCCUCCACUCCAGAGGUUCCCACCGUGGGCUGCCCAUCUUCCUAUAAAUAUGGAGGCAAUUAGCACAAAGCCCAGGUCUGAAGGGAAUUCUCAGAGCCAUGUUCAUCUUCAUAAUGUUGAAGAAAACUCCCCAGGAGACCUGAGUCAUGGCUGCGGCGGGCAGACUGCUUCUGAUCUGAUUAACUGAGCUCCACAAGAGGCACGCACCCUCCCUCCAGACCUGCUCUGAGCCGACACCACUCUGGAAUUCUCUCCAAUGGAGGCUUUCCCCGGGCUGCCACUAACACCCCACAAAACAGGAGAAAACUGGUCCUUUCCUGCCAAGGCAUCAGUAGUGUCCAACGUCCCCAAGUCUGUGCUUCUUGUAAAUUCCAAAAUCAAAUGGCAAGGCAUCACUCCAUCAGCAAAUAUUUACUUUCAUAGGGCAUCAUGGGAAAGGCCAAAAAGAUUCACUCUAUCCCUUUGCAGCUGAAUCCCCAAAAGGACAUAAGGCUUCCAGAUGUGUGCACCCAUACCACACAUGGGUGGGAUUUCUGGAGGGGACUGCCUUCUGGUAGCCCCACUCUCUCGUCUGAGCUGGCUGCCCUACCCAAUGGGUGUCAAGUGGAUCCCACUGCUUUAGUUAUAAAGUCAUAAACUCUCAAGGUUGAAAGAAACCUCAAUGAUUAUUUCUCCCACCCCUCCCCGAAUCUACCCCAUCUGCUAUUGACUCCUCUUGAGUCAAAUAUAUAGUUCUUAUUUCAACAUGCUGUGCUCAGUGAAAGCUCAAUAAAUAUUUAUUAAUGGUGGUGCCCAUGAUGAAUUAACAGCCAAAGCUAUAAAAUUAAAGUUUCACACAAGCAGAGAUCCUGGUGAGAAAGAAACUGCUACAUAAAGUUUGAAAUUUUUCAAAAUGACAAGCAUUCACGCAUGCACACACAUACACACUCAUAUACACUCACAAUCAUCCACACACAUACACUCUCACAUGGGCACACACCUUCACACACACAUACACACAAACACACUCUCACACACACACUCAUACAUACAUAUACUGUCUGGCAGAAGACCUCAGUUCU
ensembl:lincRNA